GAUGAACGCUGGCGGCGUGCUUAACACAUGCAAGUCGAACGAAGCACUUUAUUUGAUUUCCUUCGGGACUGAUUAUUUUGUGACUGAGUGGCGGACGGGUGAGUAACGCGUGGGUAACCUGCCUUGUACAGGGGGAUAACAGUUGGAAACGGCUGCUAAUACCGCAUAAGCGCACAGCAUCGCAUGAUGCAGUGUGAAAAACUCCGGUGGUAUAAGAUGGACCCGCGUUGGAUUAGCUAGUUGGUGAGGUAACGGCCCACCAAGGCGACGAUCCAUAGCCGACCUGAGAGGGUGAACGGCCACAUUGGGACUGAGACACGGCCCAAACUCCGACGGGAGGCAGCAGUGGGGAAUAUUGCACAAUGGGCGAAAGCCUGAUGCAGCGACGCCGCGUGAGCGAAGAAGUAUUUCGGUAUGUAAAGCUCUAUCAGCAGGGAAGAUAAUGACGGUACCUGACUAAGAAGCACCGGCUAAAUACGUG
rnacentral:rRNA from 1 species